rnacentral:rRNA from 1 species
AAGCUCGUAGUUGAAUUUCGGGAUUAGUACGUCGGUCGUGCCUUAGGUACGUACUGGUGUUACUGGUUCCUACCUUCUGACGAACCAUCAUGUCAUUAAUUUGGUGUGGUGGGGAAUCAGGACAGUUACUUUGAAAAAAUUAGAGUAGUUUAAAGCAGGCUCGCGCUUGAAUACAUUAGCAUGGAAUAAUGAAAAUAGGACGUUGAUCCUAUUUUGUUGGUUUCUAGGAUUGACGUAAUGAUUAANAGGGAUAGUUGGG